CCUUGCACACACCGCCCGUCACGCCACGAAAGUUGGUCUUACCCGAAGUCGCCGUGCUAACCGCAAGGAGGCAAGCGCCUAAGGUAGGGCCGAUGAUUGGGACG
rnacentral:rRNA from 1 species